CUUCCUUUCCUUAGUGACCCUUGCUGUGUCAGCCUUUCUCUGCAUGAUCAGUUUGCUGUGAUCUAUGGAAAACUCCCACCUCAGGAAUUUGAAGCCUGUGGAAUGACUGAUGGUGGAAUUUCAAGAAUCAAGGGAGGCAAGUGAAGAUGAAACUUCAAAGCAGCAGAGGUUUCUUAACACCCUUCGAUGUUUAGGAUACAAGUGACCACUUAUUCAGGAGGCAUUCAUGGGCAUUUCAGAAGCACUAAUAUUUUAUCUAGAGGGUGAAGAAAUACUAAGAGCAAAGCCACUGUUGCAACCUGUGGCAGGA